rnacentral:miRNA from 1 species
GAUCUUGUCUCUGACAGCUGGGGGCGCUGUAAACAUCCUUGACUGGAAGCUGUGUGGAGACCGGAUGGGCUUUCAGUCGGAUGUUUGCAGCGGCCGGCUGCCACUUUGCCCACGAGCCUUGUUGUGAAGUUUC